GACGAACGCUGGCGGCGUGCCUAAUACAUGCAAGUUGAGCGCUGAAGGUUGGUACUUGUACCGACUGGAUGAGCAGCGAACGGGUGAGUAACGCGUGGGGAAUCUGCCUUUGAGCGGGGGACAACAUUUGGAAACGAAUGCUAAUACCGCAUAAAAACUUUAAACACAAGUUUUAAGUUUGAAAGAUGCAAUUGCAUCACUCAAAGAUGAUCCCUCGUUGUAUUAGCUAGUUGGUGAGGUAAAGGCUCACCAAGGCGAUGAUACAUAGCCGACCUGAGAGGGUGAUCGGCCACAUUGGGACUGAGACACGGCCCAAACUCCUACGGGAGGCAGCAGUAGGGAAUCUUCGGCAAUGGACGAAAGUCUGACCGAGCAACGCCGCGUGAGUGAAGAAGGUUUUCGGAUCGUAAAACUCUGUUGGUAGAGAAGAACGUUGGUGAGAGUGGAAAGCUCAUCAAGUGACGGUAACUACCCAGAAAGGGACGGCUAACUACGUGCCAGCAGCCGCGGUAA
rnacentral:rRNA from 1 species